CAUUUGUUGCCCUAACCUGUCAAAUGCUGUAACAACUAUUUAUGUGUGCGUUCAGAAAUUUAUUUUGUGCAAAAUAUCUCUAAAGUUCAAGUUAACAAAAGUUCAUAGGUUGUCUAUUAUUUUUCUUGAUAAGCUAUUAUCUACAUAUGUCUCGAUUGUUUUAUGUGGUUUCGUGCGAGUGCAUAUUCUAUAUUACUAUUAAUAACAAUGCCGCGUCUUAGAAGAUCUAAUCUUUCCCAGCGGACCCGUAAUGCAAUUAGGCAACGGAAUAUCAAUUAUCUGACAAGAACGAGAAAUCGCCCGAGAAGAGCGCCGCGUUGGUAUGGAGCAAACACAAGAGCUGACCCGGCGAAUUUCGUAACAGUCAAAGAAUGUCGUGUUACCUUUUAGCGGAACUAAUUUAGGCUUUGAUGAACGUAAUACAAUAAAACAAAACAAUAUUAAUAUAGCCGAAGUUCGCCGGGUCAGCUCUUGUCUUUGUUGUUGUUGGCAAUAUACAAACCUUUUUUUUCCACCGUUAAGAGAAUAAAAUAAGGGCUCAUAAA